UAUGACUGAUAAAAGUGAUAGAUUGUAAAUCUAUAUAUGAAUAAAUUUCUGGUGCCA
rnacentral:tRNA from 1 species